rfam:Ovis aries breed Texel chromosome 17, whole genome shotgun sequence.
UGGCUCAGAGGAUAAAGUGUCUGCCUGCAAUGCAGGAGACCCAGGUUCGAUCCCUGG